AAAAAAAAAAAAAAGAGAGUUCAGUCCAUAAAAGAAAAAACAAUAUUUUUAUUUUCAUUAUCAUAAACCAUGAAGUUGGAAAAUAAAUUCAACUUUUGCAUCGAAAACAAAACACAAAACUAUUUUAGGAAAACAUCAUAUAAAAAGCACCGAUAAAUAAAUUGUAUGUUCUGCUAAUUGAGGGUGUGAUUGAAAGUCACUUUUAGCGUAACUUUUGUAGAGUAAAAAAUGUUUUGACUGAGUUGCGUGAAUAAACACCCAAUCAAGAUAAAAGGAGUUACACUGAUAUAGAGUAAAUGUUUUGUCUUUUUAUGUUUUUUGUAGUUAAGUUUUUCUUCUCUUUUUUCUAGAGUAAACGUUUACUCUGAAGUUUACCUUUUCCUCUUAUUUCAUGUUCCACUCAUUUUCGUCAUUUUUUAUUCUUCCAAAUUGCGCUGAUAUUACCAAUCACACUCUAAAUAUUAUGACAUUCCAACUUUCCACAAUUCAUAUGAUUCACGAGUAAUCACCUAUAUCUUGUCAGUAUUUAGUUUGUUAACAUUUAUAUUUAGGGAUAUAUAUUACAACUAUAAAGAAAAAAAACUAUAAAGAAAGAAAUAAAUUUUAACAUCUCAAGUCAUUAAGCAUUAAUACAAAUUUAUAUUCUACAAUGAUAGGAUUGGGCACAAACUGGAUUUGUGAAAAUAGUAACCUAAUAAUAAUAAUAUUUGGAUAUUUAGAAACUAAUAAUAAUAUUUGGAUAAUUUAUGAAACUUAUGUAACUUAUCAAACUUCAUUACUUUUGGAUAAAUUGUUCAUCAUACAUUUACUAAUUCUUAUAUUUUGCAAUACUGUAUCUUUAUAUAUAAAAGAGACUUUUAAUCACUCCUGGUGCUGCCAAUAAAGAUGACACGUCAGAAAUAGGAAGCCUCCCGCACUGACACGUCAGUUGCUAGAACGCUCCGUACCAUUCUUUUCUUCUCCGGAAUCCGUUAGGCUUACGUUCUUAUUAUGUCUGAACAUUUUGCAUUAUUAAGCCCAUGGCCUUUUUUUUUAGCGACUCCCAUAGACUAUUUUAUUAAAGCAUGAUAUGAUGUAUUGCGAAACGGUGCGUUUAUUAUCCUGUCUUUUAUCUCUCUACCAUCUCUGUCGUAGGCGAUUUAGGGUUUCCAUUGAAACUGAGCAUUCUUCCUCCUGAUCCAGCGAUUAAUCGGCGCCGUAUCGACUCUAUAGUUUCCAGCGAACUGUUCAUCUUCUUCGUACUGAUCAAGUAAUCAAUGGAAACAUUGCUAUUGAAUUCCCUCUUUAAAUCCACCUUCCACGAUCUCUCUUCAAUUCCACUUUAGCUCUUUAAAGACGGUGGUGGUUCCACUAUAAAAAGGUUAGCAUCUCUACAAUCUAUAGCAUCCUAUCAAUUUGUUAAAACAAAACAAUCUCCUUAUUUUCUGAAAAAAUGGCUAAUGCUCGAGUUUUCCUUUCAGAUUUGAAAUUCUGUAGAUGUUUUUCCACGGUGGAGGUGGAGGUUACGCUAUUGCGUUUCUAGGAGGCGGGGAACAUCAGGCGAGGUGAUGAACUGAUGUCCGUGGAUAUGCUCCUGCUUGAUUCGAAUGUGACUACAAACCGACACUCAUGUAAGCUACCGUCAACGUCCAACAAACACUCAUUUAUUCCAGGUCAUAUAUAUAUAACUGGUGAACUAACUGCUGUAAAGAGGCAUGUAAGCGAUCCUCCAUAAGACAAAGACCGUGUCAUGGCAACCAUAAAAUUGAUAGUGACGUGUCUUUCACCUUGAGUGUGUUCCACUAUCAAGUUGUGUGGUUUCACAAAACUUAAAAGCUUUAGGGUGGAUCCACGAGUUUUUGUUGCAACAAACUAUAAUCCCAAGAUUGUGGGAGGACGAUUUUUCUAAAUGCCACAUCAGGGACUCACUAUGACAAGGAGACUGAUGCAUGAGAGAGUUAAAUUUAAAAUUUCUUCACAAAUGAUACUGGGAACACAUCAGCAGCUUCUUUGUUGGGGAUUUUCAAAGGUUGAGCCUAUGAAAAUAGCGGAGCUUAACCAGUUUAUCAUCACUGCUCAGCAUCAGUCCAUUAAAUCUAUUUGCACUGGAAAGGUGACCGUAUCAAGCCAGAAAAAGGAUGGUGCUACAUCUUGGACCCUGGAGAUCACAUGCGUGGGAUCAGUUUCUCUCUCAGCGAAGAUGUUUGGAGGUGGGAAUGAGAAGGAGAAUAACUCUGGCAGCAAAACUUCAACUGGUCUCAAACUGAAAAAAGCUCAGACCACAACAUCUGCCAAGGUGAAGAGUAUGCUGGAGCUGGUCACAUUAAUACCUGUUUGAAAAUACUUAUGAAUCAUUAUCCCUGUUCCCCCUAUUCUCUAUUGUGUUUUCUUCAGAAGAUCUUAUAAAUUAAGUUCAAUAAUCCAAUGGUUAUUUUACUCA